GCCUUAACUACGGCCAAUGGCACUUGAUCCGUUUGGUCGCCAUGGAGAACUUUGCCAUGUGACGAUAAGACGGCUUGGAGGCGUCUGCUUUGUGCUCCACGUCACCGCAGCAUCACCACCGAAGGAACCUAUCACAUGAAAGAUGUAUGCCUAAUCACUGUGAACAUGGCGGUUGCUGUAAACAGACGUGGGACAGUUUCAGCUGUAGCUGUGAUGGAACAGGAUACACAGGAGCCACCUGCCACACAUCUAUCUAUGAGCCAUCCUGUGAGGCCUUCAAGCACUUGGGCAGGUCCUCUGACACCUACUGGAUCGACCCUGACGGCAGCGGACCCCUUGGACCCUUUAAAGUCAACUACAACAAGUGUGUGUGGGCAGGCAGGCAGGGAAUGGCUUUUUGCCUAUACAUAUGGCACAUGAAUGUGUGUGUGCUUGAAAGUUUGUAUAUUUGUGUGUGUGUGUGUGUGUAUCAAUUGUCUAGCCCCAGUGACCAGCGAGGGAAGAAAACUCCUGCCCUCCUCAUUCCUAACCUCAGACAACAGCACUCUUAACCUUCCAUACCUGGUGUUUCCAUGGGAACACAGUCAGAGUGACUGACAUUUAACGCAGUCACACAUAAACACUUGUACCCACAAUAAACAAAUGAAACCAACCAGUAAUGCAAACCUAAGAGUGCUCAAAUUGCUGAGUGACAGUUACUCCCACAAAUACUUUACUCCAUAAUACUCACUCGCACACACAAAUACACACACGCAAGCAUGCACGCACACACAGCAACAGUGUGGAAUAACUAGAUAUAGUGUGCCACAGCAGAGCAUGCAGGCAGAGCAAAGGCGAGACUUUUAAUGAAAUGUCACUGCACUCCGCUGACUGGCCCCUUAGUCACGCUGAAUAACACUCUCACACACACCUCACAAAUGUGAAGAGCUUCUCUCUCUCCGACACAUAC